GCCUUUGUGGUGCAAUGGAUAGUGCAUUGGACUUCUAGGCUGUGAGCUGAGCCAGUCAAAGGUUGUGGGUUCGAGUCCCACCAGAGUCA
rnacentral:tRNA from 1 species